rnacentral:rRNA from 1 species
UACGGAGGGUGCAAGCGUUGUUCGGAAUUACUGGGCGUAAAGCGCGUGUAGGCGGCCUCUUAAGUCUGAUGUGAAAGCCCGGGGCUUACCCCCGGAAGUGCAUUGGAAACUGGGAGGCUUGAGUACCGGAGAGGAAGGUGGAAUUCCUGGUGUAGCGGUGAAAUGCGUAGAUAUCAGGAGGAACACCGGUGGCGAAGGCGGCCUCCUGGACCGACACUGACGCUAAGGCGCGAAAGCUAGGGGAGCAAACGGG